UACGUAGGGUGCGAGCGUUGUCCGGAAUUACUGGGCGUAAAGAGCUCGUAGGUGGUUUGUCGCGUUGUCCGUGAAAACUCACAACUCAAUUGUGGGCGUGCGGGCGAUACGGGCAGACUGGAGUACUGCAGGGGAGACUGGAAUUCCUGGUGUAGCGGUGAAAUGCGUAGAUAUCAGGAGGAAUACCUAUGGCGAAAGCAGGUAUCUGGGCCAUCACUGACGCUGAGCUGCGAAAGCUAGGGGAGCAAACAGG
rnacentral:rRNA from 1 species